rnacentral:rRNA from 1 species
UGGGGAAUAUUGCACAAUGGGCGCAAGCCUGAUGCAGCCAUGCCGCGUGUAUGAAGAAGGCCUUCGGGUUGUAAAGUACUUUCAGCGAGGAGGAAGGCGUUGUGGUUAAUAACCGCAGCGAUUGACGUUACUCGCAGAAGAAGCACCGGCUAACUCCGUGCCAGCAGCCGCGGUAAUACGGAGGGUGCAAGCGUUAAUCGGAAUUACUGGGCGUAAAGCGCACGCAGGCGGUCUGUCAAGUCGGAUGUGAAAUCCCCGGGCUCAACCUGGGAACUGCAUCCGAAACUGGCAGGCUAGAGUCUUGUAGAGGGGGGUAGAAUUCCACGUGUAGCGGUGAAAUGCGUAGAGAUCUGGAGGAAUACCGGUGGCGAAGGCGGCCCCCUGGACAAAGACUGACGCUCAGGUGCGAAAGCGUGGGGAGCAAACA